UACGUAGGGUGCGAGCGUUGUCCGGAAUUAUUGGGCGUAAAGAGCUCGUAGGCGGUUUGUCACGUCUGCUGUGAAAUCCCGAGGCUCAACCUCGGGCCUGCAGUGGGUACGGGCAGACUGGAGUGCGGUAGGGGAGAAUGGAAUUCCUGGUGUAGCGGUGGAAUGCGCAGAUAUCAGGAGGAACACCGAUGGCGAAGGCAGCUCGCUGGGACGUGACUGACGCUGAGACGCGAAAGCGUGGGGAGCAAACAGG
rnacentral:rRNA from 1 species